UAAUUUAUAUCUCUAAUGGUCUAUUUUAAGUUGAUAGAAACUUAAGUUUGAUUCUAUUGUAAAGCUCAACAUUACU